rnacentral:piRNA from 1 species
UAAGAAUCUCACAAUGGUCCUACUGAAUUGU